rnacentral:rRNA from 1 species
GGAAAGUUGAAAAGCACUCUGAAUAGAGAGUCAAAAAGUACGUGAAACUGCCUAGGGCUCAAGCCCGUUGAACUCGAUUAUCCGAGCGGAGACAUUCACCUGCGGUUGGCCCGGUCCCCACGGGCCGGGUAGACCGCAGGGCACUUGUCUACCGCGCCCACGAGGACAUUGCGAUCCAUUACGAAACCGCUCCUGGCGUCGCAAGACGCAAGGUUGCCGACAGUUGCCCCUUGGUGCUUGGUUGCUUGCCCCACAGUAGCGACGCUCAGUUCUGAAGGCCUGUGCCGCGAGGUGGGGCUUACUGCACGUGGUGUUUUGCAGUCGGGCGCGUGAUGGAUUUCCGCGCACGCCGUCGGCCUUCCCGCAACGGGUCGGCGGACCGUCGAUCGGCAAUGAUAAAAUCGAGGUACCUUCGGGACCCGUCUUGAAACACGGACCAAGAAGUCUAU